GCUGCUUUCUGUGAAGGGAUAAAUCACAGCUCAGUGACUGAAUUACCUGUGACACCGGAAUGAUUUUUCUACCGGGAUGAAACAAGAGAAGCCAAGUGCAUUAGAGGCUGCCAAAAGUAGUUCUCAUUUGGCUUCUCCUCACCGUGAAGAAUCUCACUUACAGGUCACACCAGUGACAGACCAGUAAAGUCCCACAACUGUACCAGAAAGGUACUUUGGGUGAGAUCUUUACUGUACAUGGCCCCUGGCUUCACCUGCUCCAGAACUCAUCAUUCCUUCUCAGCAACAGCAGAGCCCAAUGAGAAGGAACCAUUCCCCAUCCAGUUCUCACCAUCUUCAUCUCCUAACCCUUUUAACUGCUUUGGGUUUGGCUUUUCCCCCUCUGGUUAUCUGAGGAGGCACAAGCAGCCAUCACAGGACGAUUCACCCCAGUGAAAAGGAGGUAUGAAAUGGCAAAAGCCUGGCUGUAGUAGCAUUUCCAAGCAGGUAAGAGAGAAGAUAAUACUUUCAGCAGAGCCAGACAAGCUGGUCAAUAAUCUUAGUUUGCUAAAUUAUACUUCUUUGCCACUUUUUAGUUUCAUAUCCUGCUUUGAUCCUUCAAACUGUUGCACCUGCACCCUGCACUGCCCAUCCAAGCAGCAAUACAAGCUGUUUCCAUCAGUGUCCCUGGAAGAACUCUGCCACGCCAGCUGGGAUACUACUCAGUGAGUGGAAGCCCUCCAAGAGCAGAAUGUGCAGCAGGCACUUUGCAAGGUGUUAGUUCUGCAAGGAAGAGAGGAAUUUGGGCUGGGAGCAAAGUCUAAAAUCCUGCAGUUAACUAUUCCAGCAGGAUGUGUUAUCUUCCCUUCUGGACCUGCAGAAUUAUGAACUAUGAAGGAGCUGCCAGCCCUCACCUCUGAUAGAUGGUUUGAACUCCCUCUACAGCCCCAGAUCUGUUCAUUAUACAUGCUUCUGGAGAGCUAAAAUUUCUCUGUGGGCCCCAUGACCAAGUCAAGUGAUGAUGUCCCAUGUGGAAACCAUAUUGAAAUCACUGGAAUAACUUAUUGCCUCCAAUCUGCACUUUGUCAGGCACUUUAGGAUGCUCCGAGAUGAAACACACUGCCCAGCCAUCGGGAAGAAUUAGCUAAUGCUGGCUAAUAGCUUAGAUAGCAUCUCCAAAGAGCAAGAAAUAAAAUCAACCUUAACUUGAAA